GUUUUAGCUACGUCUUUCAGUUCUCCAGAGGACGAAAAACCCUACUUUCGCUCAUAGGUCAAGAGAGUCACGGCAAAGAGGAAAGGAAAAUGGGAAUGAAUUUAUUUGCUCUUCGCCUGGCCUUCAAUUUCCGAUCAAUUUCUUCUUCUUCUUCUUCCUCCUCAAUUUGUAGCACACGAACCACAAUCUUCUCUCAAAUUUCAAGAACCUUAUGUUCCUCAUCAUCAGUUUCUUCGGAUGCGAUACAUCCAUCUGUCGCGAGGCUUCCGUUUGUGGAUGCUUUCCUGGGAAAGAUAAAGAACAAUAAAACUCAUUUAGC